UACAGAGGUCUCAAGCGUUGUUCGGAUUCAUUGGGCGUAAAGCGCGUGUAGGCGGCUCGAUAAGUCUGCUGUGAAAGUCCAAGGCUCAACCUUGGGAUGCCGGUGGAUACUGUCGAGCUCGAGUCCGGAAGAGGAGUGUGGAAUUCCUGGUGUAGCGGUGAAAUGCGCAGAUAUCAGGAGGAACACCAAUGGCGAAGGCAGCACUCUGGGACGUGACUGACGCUGAGACGCGAAAGCGUGGGGAGCAAACAGG
rnacentral:rRNA from 1 species